rnacentral:rRNA from 1 species
AUUGAACGCUGGCGGAAUGCUUUACACACGCAAGUCGAACGGCAGCACGGGGGCAACCCUGGUGGCGAGUGGCGAACGGGUGAGUAAUACAUCGGAACGUGCCCAGUCGUGGGGGAUAACGUAGCGAAAGUUACGCUAAUACCGCAUACGAUCUACGGAUGAAAGCGGGGGACCGUAAGGCCUCGCGCGAUUGGAGGGCCGAUGUCAGAGUAGGUAGUUGGUGAGGUAAAGGCUCACCAAGCCGACGAUCUGUAGCUGGUCUGAGAGGACGACCAGCCACACUGGGACUGAGACACGGCCCAGACUCCUACGGGAGGCAGCAGUGGGGAAUUUUGGACAAUGGGCGCAAGCCUGAUCCAGCCAUUCCGCGUGCAGGACGAAGGCCUUCGGGUUGUAAACUGCUUUUGUACGGAACGAAAAGGCUCUGGUUAAUACCUGGGGCUCAUGACGGUACCGUAAGAAUAAGCACCGGCUAACUACGUGCCAGCCGCCGCAGUAA